rnacentral:rRNA from 1 species
GAAGGGGGCUAGCGUUGCUCGGAAUUACUGGGCGUAAAGGGCGCGUAGGCGGCCCUGUUUGUCCGGCGUGAAAUCCCAGGGCUCAACCUUGGGGCUGCGCUGGAGACGGCGGGGCUAGAGGCAAGGAGAGGCUCGCGGAAUUCCCAGUGUAGAGGUGAAAUUCGUAGAUAUUGGGAAGAACACCGGUGGCGAAGGCGGCGAGCUGGCCUUGAUCUGACGCUGAGGCGCGACAGCGUGGGGAGCAAACAGGAUUAGAUACCCUGGUAGUCCACGCCGUAAACGAUGUGCGCUGGAUGUUGGGUGGCCUAGCCACUCAGUGUCGCAGCCAACGCGGUAAGCGCACCGCCUGGGGAGUACGGCCGCAAGGUUG